ensembl:lncRNA
UGUUGAUGCAGCUGCACAUAUCUCCUGUUUUGUCCUUCUGCUGUGUGUAAAAGAACAGUAAACUAUGCAAUCUUUGUGUGAAAGUGCCUUAAAGUGUUUUACUUCCUUUGCCUCUAGGAAGCAAUGGCUUGAAAUGAUGGCAGUGUCACCCAGCAGCCCGCACAGUGACCUGAUUGGUUGGCCUCAUUGUCUGGGGCAGCUCAUGAUAGAAGUGGACAGUAUCACAGUGUGAGUGAAGGUCAGCGUAGGAGCAGCUGCUGAUGGGAGGAAGGAAGUCCAGGCUCAUGGACUCUGGAGCAUCUCCCAGUACAGUACCAGAGGAGGCAGGAAUGAUGUUGCAGAAGAACAUGAGAAGCUCCCCAGCAGGAAGCCACAAACUCUGCAGAAAGCUACAGGAGAGGUGGAACAUGUGUGGAUGCCCAGGAGGAAGUCCAGCCCCAGUAUUUGAGCAGUGCCUGGCCAUGGAGAACUGCGGCCCAAGAACAGAGCUAUUCUGCCUUUGCCAAGAAGGACUUGUCUGUCCUUGUAAAAAGCAGAAAGCUGGCUCAUCCAAAUGCUUGCUGAUUGCUUGGGAGCUCAAAUCCUUCUGGCCUCCAACCUGGAGGCAGGCUGGGGGCAAUGUCUCCUUGGUCUGAUCCUGCGGUGCCUGAGCGAGAGCUGGCUGCGUGAGAAUGAUCUUAAUUUCUUUGUUAUUUUAUUUCAAGUAACCCCAUUGGGUGACCCUACUGUUGGUUUCUUAAAAUUUGGAUCUAGGAGGUGACCACACCCUUUGCCUAUGAUGAAUGCACAGAAGUGAUGCAAGUGCAUGCUGAGUUCACAACCAUUGCUGGGGUGGGAACGUUUGUGCCACAGCUGGUGAGUAGAGCUGAUGCUCUGGUGAGCAUGCUGCACACAGAGACUGAGCUGUGAGCUUUCCUUGAGAAAGAUCGCCUUGUGAGUGCCCAUCAGAAGCACUACUGCGGCAUGUGUGUGAGCUGGGCACAGCUUAGGCUAACCAGGCUGAACAGGUGAGCUGGGUUUGGUGCUGGGUGGUUGCUGG